rnacentral:rRNA from 1 species
AUGUGAGUCGAGGGGCAGCGGAUCCCUCCGGGGAUGCCGGCGACCGGCGAACGGGUGAGUAACACGUAUGGAACCUACCCUUAACUGGGGAAUAGCCUUGAGAAAUCGAGGGUAAUACCCCAUAUCAUCUUAAAGAGGCAUCUCUUUCAGAUGAAAGCUCCGGCGGUUAAAGAUGGCCAUGCGGUCCAUUAGCUUGUUGGUGAGAUAACCGCUCACCAAGGCUACGAUGGAUAGCUGAUCUGAGAGGAUGAUCAGCCACAUUGGCACUGAGACACGGGCCAAACUCCUACGGGAGGCAGCAGUAGGGAAUCUUGGUCAAUUGGCGAAAGCCAGAACCAGUCAUGCCGCGUGCAGGAUGAAGGCCCUACGGGUCGUAAACUGCUUUUAUUCGGAAAGAAAAAGUCUGUUUCCACAGACCUUGACGGUACCGAUUGAAUAAGGACCGGCCAACUCCGUGCCAGCAGCCGCGGUAAUACGGAGGGUCCAAGCGUUAUCCGGAUUCACUGGGUUUAAAGGGUGCGCAGGCGGCCAAGUAAGUCAGUGGUGAAAGCCUUCGGCUCAACCGGAGAAUUGCCAUUGAAACUACUUGGCUUGAGUGCAGCAGAGGUAGGCGGAAUGUAGCAUGUAGCGGUGAAAUGCAUAGAUAUGCUACAGAACACCGAUAGCGAAAGCAGCUUACCACACUGUAACUGACGCUGAGGCACGAAAGCAUGGGUAGCAAACAGGAUUAGAUACCCUGGUAGUCCAUGCCGUAAACUUUGAACACUCGGAGUUUGCCACCUAGUGGUAAGCUCCCUAGCGAAAGCGUUAAGUGUUCCACCUGGGGAGUAUGGUCGCAAGGC